rnacentral:rRNA from 1 species
AGUGAACGCUGGCGGUAGGCCUAACACAUGCAAGUCGAACGGCAGCACAGUAAGAGCUUGCUCUUACGGGUGGCGAGUGGCGGACGGGUGAGGAAUACAUCGGAAUCUACUUUUUCGUGGGUGAUAACGUAGGGAAACUUACGCUAAUACCGCAUACGACCUACGGGUGAAAGCAGGGGAUCUUCGGACCUUACGCGAUUGAAUGAGCCGAUGUCGGAUUAGCUAGUUGGCGGGGUAAAGGCCCACCAAGGCGACGAUCCGUAGCUGGUCUGAGAGGAUGAUCAGCCACACUGGAACUGAGACACGGUCCAGACUCCUACGGGAGGCAGCAGUGGGGAAUAUUGGACAAUGGGCGCAAGCCUGAUCCAGCCAUACCGCGUGGGUGAAGAAGGCCUUCGGGUUGUAAAGCCCUUUUGUUGGGAAAGAAAAGCAGCAGGUUAAUACCCCGCUGUUCUGACGGUACCCAAAGAAUAAGCACCGGCUAACUUCGUG